AUUGAACGCUGGCGGCAUGCUUUACACAUGCAAGUCGAACGGAUCUAGGGGCUUGCUCCUAGGUUAGUGGCGAACGGGUGAGUAAUGCAUCGGAACGUACCGUGUAGUGGGGGAUAACCUGGCGAAAGUCAGAUUAAUACCGCAUACGAUCUACGGAUGAAAGCGGGGGACCUUCGGGCCUCGCGCUAUACGAGCGGCCGAUGUCGGAUUAGCUAGUUGGUGAGGUAAAGGCUCACCAAGGCGACGAUCCGUAGCGGGUCUGAGAGGAUGAUCCGCCACACUGGGACUGAGACACGGCCCAGACUCCUACGGGAGGCAGCAGUGGGGAAUUUUGGACAAUGGACGCAAGUCUGAUCCAGCCAUGCCGCGUGAGUGAAGAAGGCCUUCGGGUUGUAAAGCUCUUUUGUCAGGGAGCAAAUCCUGCCUGCUAAUACUAGGUGGGGAUGAGAGUACCUGAAGAAUAAGCACCGGCUAACUACGUGCCAGCCGCCGCGGUAAAAC
rnacentral:rRNA from 1 species